GACGUAGGGUCCGAGCGUUGUCCGGAUUUACUGGGCGUAAAGAGCGCGUAGGCGGCUCGUUAAGUGUGAAGUGAAAUCUAUGGGCUCAACCCAUAGUCUGCAUCGGAAACUGUCGGGCUUGAGUAUGGGAGAGGUGAGUGGAAUUUCCGGUGUAGCGGUGAAAUGCGUAGAUAUCGGAAGGAACACCUGUGGCGAAAGCGGCUCACUGGACCAUUACUGACGCUGAGGCACGAAAGCUAGGGGAGCAAACAGG
rnacentral:rRNA from 1 species